UACAGGGGGUGCAAGCGUUACUCGGAAUUAUUGGGCGUAAAGAGCGCGUAGGCGGCUUCGUAAGUCUGAUGUGAAAUCCCUGGGCUCAACUCAGGAAGCGCAUUGGAUACUGCGAAGCUGGAGUACUGGAGAGGAGAGUGGAAUUCCUGGUGUAGAGGUGAAAUUCGUAGAUAUCAGGAGGAACAACAGAGGCGAAGGCGGCUCUCUGGACAGUAACUGACGCUGAGGCGCGAAAGCGUGGGGAGCAAACAGG
rnacentral:rRNA from 1 species